CAGCAACUUGGAGGAAUGUAUAGGAAAGCUGGUAAGAAGGUGAUUACCUAGUUGUAUUAAGGCUACUAGUAAUACAGUAUUAACAGAGUUAAAUAAAGUUCUAAGUAGAUAUUGAUUAUGACAGUAUUUGCUGAUGUCUUGACCAAGUCACGUGCCAGCAGUCGCGGUAAUACGUGGAAGAUUAGUGUUAUUCAUAUUUAAAAGGUUUAAAGGGUACCUAGACGGUUAAUUAAACAAUAACAUAUAUGUAUUAAUAAACUAGAGUUUAAUGUAAGAAAGAUAGAGUACGGUGAGUGUAAAGAUAAAAUUUUAUGAUACCACUAAGGAACUGGUAAGGCGAAGGCAAUUUUCUAUGUAAAAACUGACGUUAAGGGACGAAGGCUUGAUAAAAAAAAUAGGAUUAGAGACCCUAGUAUUGCGAGCAGUAAAUGAUGAGUGUCAUAUAUAAGAAUUUUUUUGUGUAUAAAUGAAAGUGUAAGCACUCCACCUCAAGAGUAACGUGGCAACACGGGAACUGAAAUCAUUAGACCGUUUCUGAAACUCGUAGUGAAGUAUGUUGUUUAAUUUGAUAAUCCACAAAUAACCUUACCACACUUUGAAUUACAUCCAGUUUAAUAUGCUGAUUGAUGUAACAAGCGUUGCACGGCUGUCUCCAGUUAAUGUUGUGAAACUGUGGUUAGAUCCAUUAAAUUGACGUAAACCCUCUCUCUACUUGUUGUAGAGUGGUUCGCCGCUAUAUUGGUAGUGAUAUAAGGGACUAAGACAAGUCAUCAUGACCUGAACAGUGUGGGCUAUAGACGUGCCACAUUACCUUAACAAAAAGAUGCAAAA
rnacentral:rRNA from 1 species